GNUCAGAACGAACGCUGGCGGCAGGCUUAACACAUGCAAGUCGAACGAGAACCCAUCCUUCGGGGUGGUGGAAAGUGGCGCACGGGUGAGUAACRCKUGGGAACCUACCCUUUGGUUCGGAAUAACCGCGGGAAACUGCGGCUAAUACCGAAUAAGCCCUCUGGGGGAAAGAUUUAUCGCCGAAGGAUGGGCCCGCGGCGGAUUASCUUGUUGGUAGGGUAACGGCCUACCAAGGCUACGAUCCGUAGCUGGUCUGAGAGGAUGGUCAGCCACACUGGGACUGARACACGGCCCAGACUCCUACGGGAGGCAGCAGUGGGGAAUAUUGGACAAUGGGCGCAAGCCUGAUCCAKCCAUGCCGCGUGAKUGAAKAASGCCCUAGGGUUGUAAAGCUCUUUCACCGGGGAAGAUAAUGACGGUACCCGGAAAAGAAKCCCCGGCUAACUCCGUGCCAGCAGCCGCGGUAAUACGGAGGGGGCUAGCGUUGUUCGGAAUUACUGGGCGUAAAGCGCGCGUAGGCGGUUUGCCAAGUUGGGGGUGAAAUCCCGGGGCUCAACUCCGGAACUGCCCUCGAAACUGGCAGGCUAGAGUGUGGGAGAGGAGAGUGGAAUUCCCAGUGUAGAGGUGAAAUUCGUAGAUAUUGGGAAGAACACCAGUGGCGAAGGCGGCUCUCUGGACCACAACUGACGCUGAGGCGCGAAAGCGUGGGGAGCAAACAGGAUUAGAUACCCUGGUAGUCCACGCCGUAAACGAUGAGUGCUAGACGUUGGGGGGCUUGCCCUUCAGUGUCGGAGCUAACGCAUUAANC
rnacentral:rRNA from 1 species